UACGUAGGGGGCGAGCGUUGUCCGGAGUUACUGGGCGUAAAGCGCACGCAGGCGGUCUGUGAAGUUUGGAGUGACAGUUGGUGGCUCAACCACCAAAGUGCUUUGAAAACUGAUAGACUUGAGGGCUUCAGAGGGACACGGAAUCCGGGUGGAGUGGUGAAAUGCGUAGAGAUCCGGAGGAACACCAAAGGCGAAGGCAGUGUCCUGGGGAGUACCUGACGCUCAGGUGCGAAAGCCAGGGGAGCGAACGGG
rnacentral:rRNA from 1 species